rnacentral:rRNA from 1 species
AACGAACGCUGGCGGUGUGCCUCAUACAUGCAAGUCGUACGCGAAUCCUGCCGCAAGGCAGGGUUUGAGUGGCAAACGGGUGCGUAACACGUAGGUAAUCUUCCUUUGAGUUGGGGAUAAGCCCUCGAAAGGGGGUCUAAUACUGAAUAACACUUCGGGCCGGCAUCGGCCUGAAAUUAAAGAUGGCCUCUGCUUGCAAGCUAUCGCUCGGAGAUGAGCCUGCGGCCGAUUAGUUAGUUGGCGGGAUAAAAGCCCACCAAGACUUCGAUCGGUAGCCGGUCUGAGAGGAUGUCCGGCCACACUGGGACUGAGAUACGGCCCAGACUCCUACGGAGGCAGCAGUAGGGAAUAUUGCGCAAUGGCCGCAAGGCUGACGCAGCAACA